rnacentral:tRNA from 1 species
GAGGUUGUAGUUCAGUGGUAGAGCACUUGUCUAGCAUGCAUGAGGCACUGGGUUCAAUUCUCAGCACCACA